CGGAGAGAGAGAUAUAGAGACAAAUGAAGAACGCUUUCACUUUUCAGGGACACAUCAUUCUCAAACAAAAAGAUUAUAGAGCCAGAGAUUUCACACAAAAGACACAGAGACAAACUUCAGAUCCUUGGAUCCCCAUAUUCCCUUAACUACCGCCAUUGCCACACCCCCCUCCAACAACGUUGAAUAGUCUUACCUCUUCUCAUCCUCCGGUCCCUGUGAUUGAUUGAAAGCCAAGCCUCUUAUUCUCUUUCGAAAACGUCAAUGUCAAGAAAAUUACAAUGUCCACAAGGUGUUUCCUUAGGAACCCAGUAAAAUACAUGCCUCUGGUUCCCCAUUUUACACUCUCUGCACUGCCAUCAUUGGGAAUGUUUGUGCGAUCUGUAUGUAUAUGAGCUGAUACGGGUCUCUGUUUGUUGGGUGCAAAUGUGUGUUCUGUUGGACCUUUUGUGGGUGUUCUAUUGCCGGUGAGUUAAGCGGAUCUUGAAGGAUAUGGCGCUGUUUAGGAAAUUUUUCUAUAGAAAACCGCCUGAUGGACUCCUGGAGAUAUCUGAGAGGGUUUAUGUUUUUGAUUGCUGUUUUACCACGGAUGUCUUGGAAGAUGAUGAAUACAAAGCCUAUCUGGGAGGCAUUGUCGGUCAACUCCAGAAUCAUUUCCCUGAUGCUUCAUUCAUGGUGUUUAAUUUCCGUGAAGGGGAAAACCAAAGCCAAAUUGCCCAUGUAUUAUCAGAUUAUGAUAUGACUGUUAUGGAUUAUCCUCGUCAAUAUGAAGGUUGCCCUUUAUUGACAUUAGAGAUGAUACAUCACUUUUUGAGAUCAAGUGAAAGCUGGCUUUCACUUGGGCAACAAAAUUUGAUCUUGAUGCAUUGCGAGCGAGGUGGGUGGCCAGUUUUGGCCUUUAUGCUUGCUGCGCUUUUGAUAUAUAGAAAGCAAUUCACGGGAGAGCAAAAAACUUUGGACAUUAUCUACAAGCAAGCCCCUCGAGAGCUUUUGCAACUGAUUUCACCCCUGAAUCCACUGCCUUCUCAACUGAGAUACCUACAGUAUGUCUCAAGAAGGAAUGUAGGCUCUGAAUGGCCUCCACUAGAUAGAGCACUUACGUUGGACUGUAUUAUACUUAGAUUCAUUCCCAGCAUGGAUGAGGACGGGGGUUGCCGUCCAAUUUUUAGGAUAUACGGACAAAAUCCUUUUAUGGCUGCUGAUCGGACUCCCAAAGUUCUGUUCUCAACACCAAAAAGGAGCAAACUUGUUCGUCGUUUCAAGCAGGCAGAUUGUGAAUUAGUUAAAAUUGAUAUCAAUUCCCACAUACAAGGUGAUGUUGUGCUGGAAUGUAUCAAUUUGGAUGCCGAUCAAGAACGAGAGGAGAUGGUGUUUCGGGUCAUGUUCAAUACAGCCUUCAUAAGAUCAAAUAUUUUGAUGCUUAACCGUGAUGAAAUUGACAUUUUAUGGAAUGCUAAGGAUCAAUUUCCAAAGGACUUCAGAACAGAGAUUCUUUUUUCAGAGAUGGAUUCUUCCUCUUCUUUUACUUCAAUUGAUUUUCCGGGUAUAGAGGAGAAGGAUGGACUUCCUAUGGAAGCAUUUGCUAAAGUUCAAGAGAUCUUCAGUAAUGCGGAUUGGCUAGAGAUAGAUCCAAAGCCAGACGUAGCAGCAAAUGUGCUCCAGCAGAUAAAAGCAUCAAAUAUCCUCCUAGAAAAUUUGGAGAGUAGUUUUCCCAGCAUGACAAAAACAGCCAAUAUUCAACUUGAAUCGGGUCUUGAAAAUUUUGAAGAGAAAGGCGAAUUAAAAGCAUCGGAGAACAACAAACUUUUGAUAAGCAUGGCCGAGGAGAGAGAUGUUAUAUCCUCUUCUAAGCCAUCUUCUGAUGCAAAUUCAAUUCAAAAGAAGGUUGAACCCCAGGAAUUGCAUAUUGCUCUCCAGCGACCAGCUCAAUCUAAAAUCAUAUCCCAGCGACCAGCUCAUACUUCGGUGUCUGAUGCAAAUUCAAUUCAAAAGAAGGUUGAACCCCAAGUUACCGCUCUCCAGCAACCAGCCCAAUCUAAAAUCAUAUCCCAGCGAGCACCUCAUACUUCAGUGUCCUCUCCAGUUUCAUAUGGUAAUUCCCUGCAAGGGUCACCUGUGCAUAUAUCAAGAUAUCAUAGUGCACCCUCAGCCCUCGGCAUUACAGCUCUCUUGCAUGAUCAUAAAACAUCCAGUAGAGAACAAAUGCAUCCUGUGACAUCAUCCCUAACUUCGGUUAGUUCAUUGCCUUCUGCCGCAAGUAUACAUAAACCUAUGCAGGUUGGUCAUGUGUCCACUUCGGAGCCACCAUCUCCUCCUGUUUUGCAAUCUUCUAUUGUUGCUGCUACAAGCAUUAUAAAAACUUCCAUAAUUCUUCCCUCUCCCUCUCUCUCUCCUAAAACAGCUUCAAAUACAACAGAUUCUUCAUCUGUACAACAUCCUGAAACUGGAUCUCUAGCUGGAGAUCGGUUGUCAAUGGCGCGCCCUUCCCUACCUGCAUUUCCUUCUCAUUCUGGUUCAUUUCCUUCUCCAGCAGUCAAGAGCCCAUAUUCAACUCCUCCGCCCCCUCCUCCCCCACCUUUAUUUUCAGAGGAAUUCCACCCAUGUUUAUUCAAGAACUCUUUCUCAACUCCUCCUCCCCCGCCUCCACCUCCUUCUUUUCCAGGCUCAUCUCCACCUUCUGCUGUUAGGAGGUCAAUUUCGACUCCCCCUUCUCCUCCACCACCCCCUGCUGUUGCUUCAUCAAUUGUUGCUUCAGUAUCCAUUAAGAGCUCGGCUGUUUUGCCUGGACCUCCUACCCCUCCUCCUCCCCUUUGUUCUGGUCCUAUUUUAGGUUCCAAUAGUUUAAGUUCUGCACCUCCACCACCCCCUCCCCCUAUUUCUGCUCGAAAGGAUUUGUCUUCUAAUAAUUCUCCUCUAGUGCCACCCCCUCCUGCUCCGUUUGCCAAAGGAUUAUCAAAAACAGGUGGUGCAUCUUCACAGUCUCACUCAGGAUUUAGUAAUGGAAACGUGCCUCUAGUUCCUGGGCCACCUUCUAUGGGCUCUUUUGGUGCAAAAGGACGGGGAAUAUCACGCACAAACCCCAAAAAUCAGGUUCAACCUAGAAAGGCGAACCUGAAGCCCUAUCAUUGGCUAAAGUUAACAAGGGCCAUGCAAGGAAGCUUAUGGGCCGAGUCACAAAAGCCUGAUGAAGCUUCCAAGGCUCCAGAAUUUGACAUGUCAGAACUUGAGAAUCUCUUCUCAGCAGCCGCUCCAAAUUCAGAUAAUGGAGCCAAAGGAGGAAAAUCAAAUCGCCGUUCCUCAGGACCUAAGAUUGACAAAGUCCAGCUGAUUGAGCUAAGGCGGGCUUAUAACUGUGAAAUCAUGCUUUCAAAAGUCAAAGUUCCCUUAUCUAGUUUGGUGAGUUCGGUUCUUGCCUUGGACGAUUCAGCACUAGAUGUUGAUCAGGUUGAUAACCUGAUUAAGUUUUGUCCAACAAAAGAAGAGAUGGAACUGCUUAAGGGUUAUAAUGGAGAUAAAGAAAAUUUGGGAAAAUGUGAACAGUUCUUCUUAGAAUUGAUGAAAGUUCCGCGUGUAGAGUCAAAGCUAAGAGUGUUUUCAUUCAAGAUGCAAUUUCACUCCCAGGUUUCUGACCUUAGACGUCAUUUGAAUAUUGUAAAUUCUGCGUCUGAAGAGAUCAGGAAUUCAGUCAAGUUGAAAAGGAUCAUGCAAAAUAUUCUUUCCCUGGGCAAUGCUUUGAACCAUGGAACUGCAAGAGGUUCUGCAAUUGGAUUUCGAUUAGAUAGUCUCCUCAAACUCACUGAUACACGAGCUCGGGACAACAAAACGACACUCAUGCAUUAUCUUUGUAAGGUACUUGCUGAAAAACUGCCUGAACUUUUGGAUUUCCCAAAAGACCUUGUGAGUUUGGAGGCUUCAACUAAAAUACAAUUGAAAUAUUUGGCAGAGGAAAUGCAAGCAAUUAGUAAAGGGCUGGAGAAAGUUGUGUGGGAAUUAACUGCCUCAGAAAAUGAUGGUCCAGUUUCAGAGAACUUUCGCCAGUCUCUGAAGGAUUUCCUCAGUUUUGCUGAAAUUGAAGUAAGGUCUUUGGCUUCACUUUACUCCACUGUUGGUAGAAAUGCAGAUGCAUUGGCUUUUUACUUUGGGGAAGAUCCGGCACGCUGUACUUUUGAGCAAGUUGUGUCUACUUUGCUUAAUUUUGUGCGGAUGUUUAUUAAAGCACAUGAUGAAAACCUUAAGCAGUUUGAGCUAGAAAAGAAAAAGGCACAGAAGGAUGCCCAAAAUGAAAAGUUGAAGAUGAGUUCUCCCAGAAAGGAAUCUGAACGCUUGGUACACACUCCCAUCAAAUAAUCAAGUGUUACUGACCCUUUCGCUUGGUAUCAGCUGUUUUCAUUUGGAUAAAAUUCCAUUUUACACCAUGGAUGAGAGCUUUUUUAAGAGGACCGAGGGCAUAGUAACAUGAAAACAUGACAAGAUCUGCAAAUUUGAUGAAUGAAAGAGCAUUUUGACAGGAAAAGGAAGCUCUUAAGGAAAUAUAUAUAGCUGGUGUAUCUGCGAUAAAUAUUAAUAUCAGAUGUUGUUUGCCGUAUUGUCCGAUCUAAUUGGAGAAAUGGUGGCGUUAAAAGCCCUGUGCACGCGAGGGCAUUCGGGGGCCAUGGAACAUCUGUAAUAAGCUCGAGGAGAUGGAUUAUCCUUGGUAACCUUCUGUCCAUAUUUCCUCCAUUGAUAUCCAUCUUUAACAACCUGCAAUGAAAACAAAAGAGUUGUAACAUACCUU